GCCCUAGUAGCUCAAUGGUUAAGCACUCAGCUGCUAACUAAAAGGUUGGUGGUUCGAGCCCACCCAGGGGAA
rnacentral:tRNA from 1 species